rnacentral:rRNA from 1 species
CGAACGAAGCGCUUAAACGGAUUUCUUCGGAUUAAAGUUUUUGUGACUGAGUGGCGGACGGGUGAGUAACGCGUGGGUAACCUGCCUCAUACAGGGGGAUAACAGUUAGAAAUGACUGCUAAUACCGCAUAAGCGCACAGUGCUGCAUGGCACAGUGUGAAAAACUCCGGUGGUAUGAGAUGGACCCGCGUCUGAUUAGCUAGUUGGUGGGGUAACGGCCUACCAAGGCGACGAUCAGUAGCCGGCCUGAGAGGGUGAACGGCCACAUUGGGACUGAGACACGGCCCAAACUCCUACGGGAGGCAGCAGUGGGGAAUAUUGCACAAUGGGGGAAACCCUGAUGCAGCGACGCCGCGUGAGCGAAGAAGUAUUUCGGUAUGUAAAGCUCUAUCAGCAGGGAAGAAAAUGACGGUACCUGACUAAGAAGCACCGGCUAAAUACGUGCCAGCAGCCGCGGUAAUACGUAUGGUGCAAGCGUUAUCCGGAUUUACUGGGUGUAAAGGGAGCGUAGACGGUUGUGUAAGUCUGAUGUGAAAGCCCGGGGCUCAACCCCGGGACUGCAUUGGAAACUAUGUAACUAGAGUGUCGGAGAGGUAAGCGGAAUUCCUAGUGUAGCGGUGAAAUGCGUAGAUAUUAGGAGGAACACCAGUGGCGAAGGCGGCUUACUGG